AUAGGAAUGCUUAGUGGCGGACUGGUGAGUAACGCGUGAGGAACUUGCCUUUCAGAGGGGGACAACAGUUGGAAACGACUGCUAAUACCGCAUGAUGCAGUUGGGUCGCAUGGCUCUGACUGCCAAAGAUUUAUCGCUCUGAGAUGGCCUCGCGUCUGAUUAGCUAGUUGGUAGGGUAACGGCCUACCAAGGCGACGAUCAGUAGCCGGACUGAGAGGUUGACCGGCCACAUUGGGACUGAGACACGGCCCAGACUCC
rnacentral:rRNA from 1 species